rnacentral:ribozyme from 2 species
UGCAGAGGGGGCCGGGACGCGCGAAGCGACUCGGCCUAAUGCACAGGCCGGUCCCAAGUCCGG